rnacentral:misc_RNA from 1 species
GCUGACGCCGAAACAGAAGCCUGUGCUGUGGGGCCUCGGAAAGGGGCUGGGCCAGCGCCGGGGCCAGGCUCGAGAAAGGCUGCGCGAAGCUACGACUGGCAAAGAUGAGGGAGGCUGAAGCGGCCCAGGGGCAGGCAGGAGAUGAGACGUAUCUUGACAUCUUCCGCGACUUCUCCCUCAUGGCGUCAGACGACCCGGAGAAGCUGAGCCGUCGCAGUCAUGACCUCCACACGCUGUGACCCGAGGCCCACGGGGCCCGCGCCUGCCUCCCUUCCCCGCCACCGGGCCCUCUGCCAUUAAAGCCUCCGUGCUUCGCUCUU